AAAUUAAUAACGAUAAUGAUAAUAAUAGAUAAGCAUGAUAAUGCAGAUUAAAAAAAAAGGUGGUUGACAUUUUUUGGUAUGUUUUUCUCAUGAUAACUUUGAACUGUUUUAUUAGUCACCACCCCCAAAUGGCAACCCUAUGUUGUUUGCUCCUGCGUGUGGAUAUUCACCUCCACAGUAGUCGAGAACUUCAGGCUACCACAGUUUCUGGAUCACUAUAAUUUGUUUUCAUUUUCAUUUUCUAUGCAGAUGGAGUAAAUAAUUAAGGUCAGACAGCCACAAGAUGGCAGCACAUGCAUCUCUUAGUUUUAUUGCUAAGCACGAAGGAAGGAAACUUCUGAACACGGCAGCCUUUUCAGGAGUUUUAAUAAGUGCAGAAUCUGAUGUACUUACUCCCAAGAAGUUCCACCUGCUGAUGGAUGAUUAUCAGGUCCAGCUGCAAAGGAUGAGACAAAGAAGUGAAAACCAUUCCAUCACAGCCCUUACUAUGCAACAGGAAGCCUGUCAUUUUCAUUAAAACAUUUUGAACACCCACCAUGUAUAAGACAAAAGACCAAAGUAGACCAAGGAAAACAGAAAACUUUCAGACACCAACAGAAAGUCAAGUGAAGCAGAGAAAGUGUUCUGGUAUCAAAUAUCGGCCACCUUUGGCCUAGGUAAUUAAUAAUGAAGUAUGUAACUCAGAUUGUUGCUUAGGAAUUUAUUGGCUAUUAUUGGGUGUGUUUGUGAGCGUGAUGUAUGCUGUACAUACAACAGUGCCCAUGUGGUAGUUAGACGACACAUUUUAGGGGGUGUUUCUGUUCUUUAUGUGGACUCUGAGGGGGUGGAACUCAUGUUGCUAGGCUUACAGAGGAUGACCGGCACUCCCAAGCUAUCUUACCAGCUCAUAUAUUACCUUUGCAAAUGAAAUAUAAAAUAUUUGUUUUAGAGCAGCCUCAUUUGUUUAUAUUCGUAGCUUAAUCUUCUCUGCUCCUAACCCCAUGAAUGCCAAAUCGUCAGCCUUUACUGAAGUGCUGAUCACUGCAUUUCUAACACUUCACUUUAAAUCCCAUCUUGAAAUUACUUUCACUGUAUUCUCUAAUCACAUAUGUAAAGUCGGCAGGAAUCUUCAAGACAAGGCAAUUUUUGAUAAAGUAUGGUAUUGAUUGUCAAUCCACAACUCCAGGAAAUUUGAGGUUGUGUUUUGUUUAUUUUCUUUGUAUACCCUGAAGUGAGGUAGAACAUUUCCUCAUAUUGUCUUAUCACUGAAGAAAGAAUACA